rnacentral:rRNA from 1 species
AUUGAACGCUGGCGGCAUGCUUUACACAUGCAAGUCGAACGGUAACAGGCCGCAAGGUGCUGACGAGUGGCGAACGGGUGAGUAAUGCAUCGGAACGUGCCCAGUCGUGGGGGAUAACGCAGCGAAAGCUGUGCUAAUACCGCAUACGAUCUCUGGAUGAAAGCGGGGGACCUUCGGGCCUCGCGCGAUUGGAGCGGCCGAUGUCAGAUUAGGUAGUUGGUGGGGUAAAGGCUCACCAAGCCAACGAUCUGUAGCUGGUCUGAGAGGACGACCAGCCACACUGGGACUGAGACACGGCCCAGACUCCUACGGGUGGCUG